rnacentral:misc_RNA from 1 species
UUUUCUCAUUUGUUGAUUUAGAAAUUUUCAGUUAAACCUAAAUGCCAACGUUUAACCGAAAAAUGUUGAUGUCAAGUCUGCUAGAAAAUAUAAACAGGUUGACACAGAAUACAGACUCCAAGUUAAUAUUUAAAACAGAAUUAAACAGCUUAGAGAUCACUCGGCUCAAACCCCCGCCCUACACUCACCAAAUAGGUACGGACUUCUCAACUGAGUUUAGUUUAAUUUCUGAAAGUUCAGUUCAAUUUCUGGAAAAUCCGGAAUAUCCGGAUUCAUCAACUCUUCAUGCUGACCCCUCGGCUCUUUAUCCUGAUUCCCCGACACAAUCCUCUGAUUCCUCAUCACUCAUUCAUGAUUUUCCGACAGUGGUGGCCGAUUCAACCUCUAACCGUACCCCUAGAUAUACCUGUCAGAAAUGCAACUAUACUACGCAAAAGAAGAGUAACUAUACGACGCAUUUAAAAUGCGUUCAUUUGAAGGAAAAAUUUCCAUGUGGAAUUUGCCACAGGCUUUUCUCUAACCUACCACAGCACAUGAGAGUCGCACAUGCCACAACUCAGGGAAAACUUUUGAAUGAGAAAAUCCGUGAAAAUAUUUCCGAAAACUUGAACUCCGAGGAUUUAGGCCUGAAGUCUCAUUUAGCCCUAGUCCCUAGUGCAGCUGUCAUCACAUCCGGUUAUUCAUGUAAACUUUGCAGCCAACAUUUUGCGACCAAAUCUGAUCUUUCUUUGCACAGAAAAACGCAUAAAGCCAACAUUAAACGUGAAUGCGAGAUUUGUAAAAAACUAUAUUCAAACCUGGAACAGCAUGUUAAAAUUGUGCACAGAAAGAUAAAAAACUUUGAAUGCGUCAAUUGUCGGAAAAGAUUUUACGAUAAUCGUGAAUUAAGAAAUCAUCAUUUAAAAUCCCUGCAAACUGGUCUGUGCCAGACAAUCAGUACAGACCAAGAUGGGAAAAGGUUUCCCUGUGAUCAAUGUGAAUACAAAUCAAAAACAAAAACAAAUCUGACAUUACACAUCGAGAGUAUUCAUCUAGGUAUAAAGUACACCUGCCCAGCUUGUUUCACGCAGGUUUCAUCACGUCCCAACCUGAACAGCCAUAUGAAGCACUGCAAGCUCAGGGAUCACGGAGAAAGGGAAUCUCGUCGAAUUCUCUUUCAGUGCAAACUUUGCGAAUAUUCCACACCUCGUGCUGGUCAUCUUGACAGACACAUCCUGUCUGUACAUGGAACUGAAGCUCUGGAGACUGUAACAAGUGUCUAUGAAGCAAGUACCAAGAUUGGAUCUGCUCCAGCUCCCACACAUCCUUCCUGUAAAAUACCAUUCAAGCUUCCACAGUUCUUUAAUCUUGUAAAUCUGGAGAACAUCGAAGGUCUGCUUGAUAUGGAUUUCAUGAGUUCAAAUGUUCAUCUUCAAAGUCCAGAUGGGUCAGGGUUUCAAAGCACAGCGUAUCUCAACAGUUUAGAACACUGCAAUGGUAUUCAAGAUGAUUUCAGUGAGAGAACAAGGGAGAAUUAUAUUUUAAACGAAGAUCUUGAAACACCUCGCAGUGAUCCCAACUUCCUCCGUCCAGCUGGGGAUGGGUUGGGGGAAGAUGGAGUAGGUCACCACAACAUGGAGGAGGUUCAACCUGUUGUAGAUAUUUCAACUCAUCGACCAUUGAAAAUAUCUCUUCAAGAUCUUGAUGGGUUAGAACUUAUGCCACUCAUUCCAGAUGGAGAAACAGAGACUGAAAAAUCUUCCCCUUUCCAAUCCACUAUUAGACCAGUAGUAUCCAGCCCUGAGUUUAUUCUACAGGAGGUAGAUCAGACAGGGUUUAGAGAUCAUCAUCCUACAUUCCAAUCAGGACUUCAGGUCUCUUCUCUUUCAUCUACAAAGCCCAGUGGUCAUACUUCCCAAAGUGAAGAUAUAAAUAGUGAAGCAGCUUGUAAUCCUGGCCUGGUAGUUUUAAACAUUAGAUCCAUUUCAUCAUUAGAAGACGCAAACACGAUUUCUGUUCCAGUAUUAGGAGAUAUGACAAGGAUGUCUGGUCCUGCGAUGGAAGAUGCAACUGGAAGGUCUGUGCCUGCUUUGGAGAAUGUUACUGGAAGGUCUUUUCAUGCUUUGGAGGACGUGCCAGGGAGGUCUGUUCUUUCUAUUGAAGAUGCAACUAAAAGGUCUGCACAUGCUAUGGAGAAUGUUACUGGAAGGUCUGUUCUUGCUUUGGAGGACGUGACAGGGAGGUCUGUUCUUGAUAUGGAAGAUGCAUCUGAAAGGUCUACACAUGCUAUGGAGAAUGUUACCCUAACGUCUGUAUCUUCUGUGGAAGACAAGACAGAAAGGGUUAUACCUCCCGUAGAGUUUUUGCAGAGAUCUCCUUCCCCCUUGGAUGGGGAUUAUAGUAGCCGUGUUUCAAACCAAUCUUUUCUUUAUGAGAUUUAAGAAUUCGUGAAUAUUUGAAAGUCAGAAUCUCUGCAUAUCAAAAUAGCAUAUCACUUAAAGUGUGGCUCACUCUUUAAGUCAAUUCUAAGAGCUGGCAGCUAUCGGAUCAUGUGAGACAAGUUGAUUUCAGCUUAUUCAUAAGUUGGGUCUAAGAUGGAGUCUAAUACCAGGGUCUAAGAGCUGGCAGCUAUCGGAUCAUGUGAGACAAGUUGAUUUCAGCUUAUUCAUGAUGGAGUCUAAUACCAGGGUCUAAGAGCUGGCAGCUAUCGGAUCAUGUGAGACAAGUUGAUUUCAGCUUAUUCAUAAGUUUGGUCUAAGAUGGAGUAUAAUACCAGGGUCUAAGGAAUUAAGACUCGAGCCAAAGCUUUUAAAUCGCGGUCUCAGAUGUCAUUGCUUAGUCGUAUUAGUGCCAACAAUCCAGAUACGUCGGUUUUAUUAAACUUAUUAAAUGUAUUGCUACAAGAGGUUUAUGUUAUUGGUAUUUUUU